AGAGACAGCAGUCGCCGCGGUAAUACGGAGGGUGCAAGCGUUAAUCGGAAUUACUGGGCGUAAAGCGCACGCAGGCGGUCUGUCAAGUCGGAUGUGAAAUCCCCGGGCUCAACCUGGGAACUGCAUUCGAAACUGGCAGGCUAGAGUCUUGUAGAGGGGGGUAGAAUUCCAGGUGUAGCGGUGAAAUGCGUAGAGAUCUGGAGGAAUACCGGUGGCGAAGGCGGCCCCCUGGACAAAGACUGACGCUCAGGUGCGAAAGCGUGGGGAGCAAACAGGAUUAGAUACCCGCGUAGUCCCUGUCUCUUAUAC
rnacentral:rRNA from 1 species